UCUGGCGACUAUGCCGCGGGUGUAACACCUCUUCCCAUUCCGAACAGAGCAGUUAAGCCCCGCAGGGCCGAUGGUACUUUGCCUGUGAGGGCACGGGAGAGUAGGUCGUUGCCAGGA
rnacentral:rRNA from 1 species